GGAAGAGUGGCAGAGUGGCCGAAUGCGUCUGUCUCGAAAACAGAUUCACCAGCAAUGGUGACGUAGGUUCGAAUCCUACCUCUUCCG
rnacentral:tRNA from 1 species